GCUAGCUGUGUGUCCCAUUCUGAGAUUUCUUUACUAUGACACUCCAGCAAGCCGAGGGGCGAUGGUGUAGGAAGGAAGGCCAAGGAAAGGAAUGACCAGACAGUGCAUUUACAUGGACGACAAUUAACCCGAUUAAGACGAUACUUUGAUUAAGAAACUACCAGGCAUGCUUCACAGCAGAAGUGUGAAUCAGCAGCAUGAAAGGCAGAGGACUGAGCUUACAGACCUGAGGGACAGCAGUGCUCAGUGUGGUGUUACCAGAGGUGGCGUUGCGAAGCAGGAAGUUCAGGAUCCAAUUACAGAGGAAGGUGCUCAAGUCCUGCACGCUCAGUUUCCUUUCCACUGGAUAGUGAUGUAAUCACUUACUCAUCUAAACCUCCCUACUACUCACUCUCCAACCCCCUCAUUCACUCGCUCUGCAGCCCGAGCGGAAGUGAGUCAGACAAUACAAUGAACAACAGAACACUGAAGCUGUUUCAUAAAGAGAUUCCUUAGUGCGACUGGGAUCAAGGAAGGCUGAAAGAAAUAUCUCAUCUUUCCUUGAUUGAAUUAUCCCCAAAGCAUGAGAGGCAGCAUGGAGCUGGUUAACCAUUUACACAGACACUCCCUAAUAUACAGGGUGUCUUUGUCAGUGGAUGUUCGUGGAUGUCCACUUUCAGUCUUUUUGAAUGUUUCCUCUUAAAAUCCAUCGCAUCCUUGUGACAGCUUCCCGAUCCAGCCAUGAGAAUGAUUUCAAAGCGUUCA
ensembl:lncRNA